UCUUCGAUGGUCUAGUGGUCAUGAUUUCCGCUUGUCAUUAAAACAAGCGCGGGAGACCGGGGUUCGAUUCCCCGUCGGAGAG